rnacentral:rRNA from 1 species
AACGACUCUCGGCAACGGAUAUCUCGGCUCUCGCAUCGAUGAAGAACGUAGCGAAAUGCGAUACUUGGUGUGAAUUGCAGAAUCCCGUGAACCAUCGAGUUUUUGAACGCAAGUUGCGCCUUAAGCCUUCGGGCCGAGGGCACGCCUGCCUGGGCGUCACG